rnacentral:rRNA from 1 species
ACGCUGGCGGCGUGCCUAACACAUGCAAGUCGAACGGAAUAUCUUCGGAUAUUAGUGGCGAACGGGUGAGUAAAGUACAGGUAAUGUACCUCCGUACUGCGAAUAACAAGCUGAAAAGUUUGCUAAUACGGAAUAGUCUCUUCGAGAGGCAUCUUUUGAAGAAUAAAGAUUUAUCGUGCGGAGAUCAGCCUGUAUCCUAUUAGUUAGUUGGUGGGGUAAUGGCCUACCAAGACGACGAUGGGUAACUGGUCUGAGAGGAUGAGCAGUCACAUUGGAACUGAGAUACGGUCCAAACUCCUACGGGAGGCAGCAGUGAGGAAUUUUGCGCAAUGGGGGAAACCCUGACGCCAGCAACGCCGCGUGAGUGAUGACGGCCUUCGGGUUGUAAAGCUCUGUCGUGUGUGACGAGUAGGGACGGUAACACACAAGGAAGCCUCGGCUAACUACGUGCCAGCCGCAGC